CCGUAAUCCUAGUGCUUAUUUGUGCUUGAUGUUGCUCUUCUGUGAAAAUCCCUUAUUACAUUUUCACCUUGGCAUAUGAUGUCUUAGUCUAUUAGACAAUUCUUAGCAGUUGAUUGUUCCCAUAAACAGUGUAAAAUAUUAUAUAACAAUAUAAUAUGGCUUUCAAAGUGCAUAUAUUUAGUGGGUCAAGAAUGUCUGGGACUUGCUGUAGAUGUGCAUUGUUCUGCUCCAUACAGAAAUCUAGCAAAUUUUGUGAGAAGGUAGCAUAUUUGGUGCCAAAGUUAUCACAGUUCUGGAAUUACACUUGCUCUUCUGAUCUAGAAGGGUCGAGUCUUCUUACUGGGACAACCUGAGUGGCUUUACAACAUCCGGAACAUAUGUAUUUAAGAAAACAUAAAUAAGCACUGCCAGAUAUGACAACUGUCACAAUGAUAAUCACUGUAGCACCAAACGCUGGAGAGACCGUGUCCUCUAAAAUAGAAUGAAGUCCUCCAUGUGUGGUAAGCG